UGCCCUCAGUAGCGGCGAGUGAGCGGCAAAAGCUCAAAUUUGAAAUCUGGCGUCUUUGGCGUCCGAGUUGUAAUUUGAAGAAGGUAUCUUUGGGCCCGGCUCUUGUCUAUGUUCCUUGGAACAGGACGUCACAGAGGGUGAGAAUCCCGUGCGAUGAGAUGACCCGGGUCUGUGUAAAGUUCCUUCGACGAGUCGAGUUGUUUGGGAAUGCAGCUCUAAGUGGGUGGUAAAUUCCAUCUAAAGCUAAAUAUUGGCGAGAGACCGAUAGCGAACAAGUACAGUGAUGGAAAGAUGAAAAGAACUUUGAAAAGAGAGUGAAAAAGUACGUGAAAUUGUUGAAAGGGAAGGGCUUGAGAUCAGACUUGGUAUUUUGCAUGCUGCUCUCUCGGGGGCGGCCGCUGCGGUUUACCGGGCCAGCAUCGGUUUGGAGCGGCAGGAUAAUGGCGGAGGAAUGUGGCACGGCUUCUGCUGUGUGUUAUAGCCUCUGACGAUACUGCCAGCCUAGACCGAGGACUGCGGUUUUUACCUAGGAUGUUGGCAUAAUGAUCUUAAGUCGCCCGUCUUAACCCGGGAAACCAAUU
rnacentral:rRNA from 1 species